rnacentral:rRNA from 1 species
GAUCUUGGUCAGGAUGAACGCUAGCGGCAGGCUUAACACAUGCAAGUCGAGGGGCAACGCGAGUAGCAAUACUUGGCGGCGACCGGCGCAAGGGUGCGUAACGCGUGAGCAACAUGCCCGUAUCGGGGGGAUAAUCCAGGGAAACUUGGUCUAAUACCCCAUAGUAAUUUUGUAAGGCAUCUUAUAAGAUUUAAAGCUUUGGUGGAUACGGAUUGGCUCGCGUGACAUUAGCUGGAUGGUAAGGUAACGGCUUACCAUGGCUAUGAUGUCUAGGGGUUCUGAGAGGAAGGUCCCCACACUGGAACUGAGACACGGUCCAGACUCCUACGGGAGGCAGCAGUGAGGAAUAUUGGACAAUGGAUGGAAAUCUGAUCCAGCCAUGCCGCGUGAAAGGAAGAAGGUCCUAUGGAUUGUAAACUUCUUUUGUAUGGGAGCAAUAAGGCCUACGAGUAGGUUGAUGAGAGUACCAUACGAAUAAGCACCGGCUAACUCCGUGCCAGCCGCCGC